UUUUUAUUGUAUAUCUCUGGUUGAUGGUACUCGUCGGAGCAGUGGCACCGUGAAAUUGGAGGUUGAUAAAGUUGUGGAUCUCAUCUGAGCUUGGAGCUCGUAGUAGUGGUGGUAUGGAUCGGAGAAGAUAAAAGAUUUCAACAGUUCAUCAUCGGUGCGUGAAGAUCGAAGAUAGAUCUGACAUAUACGUGGAGAUUGGGCGUGGUUGCCCCCUGAAGUAGAGUUGGUGCUUGGAUGACGGAGAGGUAGAUUCAGUCGAUGCUUGGAGAAAAAAGGUGGAGAGUGGUGAAGUGGUUAUCUAAAUUCACCAAGAAAAAAAAAUGGAAAAAGUAUGGUUGCCGAAAAAAAUAGGGAAAGUGGUGGUUGCCAAAUAACACAAAUUUGAACUCUCCAAAAAAGGAGGAAUGAUGGCUACUGUUGGUUUCAUGUAUCUUUAUAAUUUAUGCAUUGAAGAUGAGGGGUAAAAAUUAAAGGUAUUUGUGGUCCCUUGCAUUGACAGUGAGGGUAAAUUUAGUAUAAAAACAAAUAAUGGUAAAUGUAAGCUAUUUUGAAUAGUUGGGAUAGUUGGCCCUUUUCUAUAUAACAAUAAUGUGAGAAAAAUUAGAAUUUUAUAAAUAUGAUUCCACAUAUAGGAAUAUCAUUCUUCUCUUUUUUUUCUUCUAUAUACGGUCUUUUUUAGAUUUUUUAAGAUGAUCUUCUCGAAAAUCAUAAUCUUUUUUGCAAUGUAACAUUUAUGAUAAUUAUUUUCUAGUGUUUGUGCUAGCCACGUGCGGGGGCGGGAAUGUCCCAAGAGUUCAUUUGAACGUUCUUCGCUGGAAAAUUAUAAUUUAUAUAUGAUUAAAAUUAUUUUUAUGUAUAUAUAAUAGGUAUUGAAUCAUCUAUGAUUUUUUUCGAUAUGUGUAAUUCUUCAUAUUUUGAACUUCCUUAAUGGAACUUCCAGAUUUAGUGAACAAGACUCAACAUCUCUACCAAACCCCAGUGGAGGAGCCAGAAUUUUCAUUGAGGGAGUUCAGAAGUAAAUAUACGGAAUAGUAGAAGGGGGUUCAACAUCUACAUAUAUACAUAAAAAUAUUUUUAAUCAUGUUAAAAUAAUAUAAUUUUUCAACGAACGGGGUGAACCCUUUAAUUCAAUGUGAUUCCGCGACUGCCAAACCCGCCUUGGAUUUUACUUUCUCCAAUGAAAAACACAUCAACAUGAACAUUGAAGGAAGGUGAGGAGAAUAGUUAUUAAUUGGAGAAAGAGGAAAAAGGUAAAGAAAAACCUUUGCGAGCUAAAAAUAACACCCUUAUCAUCAAAUUCACCUCCAGAAAGAUUAAUGAUCCACAUAACACGCAACAGAACACUCGAUUGAAGAUUGCACUCAACGGCGAUAUUAAAAGAUGAACAGAAAGAGAACUUAGAUUAGGAAGCCCUAUAGUGUGCUUAGGUUUUUAUUUCAGUCUGAUCUGAUUAUGCUUUGAAUCUUUGCUUUUUUCAUUUCAAUUAUGGGCUCUGAGUCUAUGUUGUACAGACUCUACUUAUUUUCUUAAUAAAAAGGCCAAAAGCCCAAAUUUUAUUUUAUUUUUAUAAAAACAAAAAAUAGAGGAUUAGGAGGACUAGGUGUUGAUAGAGACGACAACAACGAUGAUUAAAUCAAACUAGAAGAAGGAUGAUGAAGUAAUAGACCUAUCCAAAAAAGCAAUCUACUUAAUUAGGAUAAGAGUAGAUCUCCACUAAUAAAAUUCUCGAUUAAAACCUACACUACUUUGCAUCGAUCGGUGCAUAAAGCCGAUCUAAAAGGAAAAAAGAAGAAGAAGGUGGUGUCUUUCACUGAAUCUAAUAAAGAUGGGGGUUAUGGCCAAAUCUGUAGAAGGAGGAGGUAGUGAUUGUGGUGGCAGCGACAACGACAACUACUAUGGUUCAGUUAGAAGAGUAAAAGAAGGAGGUGGCCGAUGAUAAUCGAAUCUGAAAAAGAAGAUGGUUGUUUAAUCUCAAGAAAAAGAAAGUGGUGGUGGCACCGGUGGCGGCGUUGAUUCAAUUAGAAAAAUGAUGAAGGAAGAGGUAGUAGUGGUGGCGAUAUAAAAGAAGUAACGAUUAUUAGUGAUGAUUUGAAAAAUGAGGAGGCAAUUGGAGGAGGUGGAGCUGAGGCAGCUAGAGAACAAAACAAAAAAAAGGAAAAAUGUCGAAAAUAUAGAAGGUUGUGCACCUAAUUAUGAAAUAUACCGAGGUAAUUGCCCAGACACACAAUACAAAUUUUGACUGUAUCUGAGAGACACAGAUACACCCAAAAUUUAUAUUGUGUAUCUCUAGUUGAUGGUACUUGACUACUCAUCGGAGCAGUGGUGCCGUGAGAUUGGAGGUUGAUAAAAUUGUGGAUUUCGUCUGAGCUUGGAGCUCGUAAUAGUGGUGGUAUGGAUUGGAAGAAGAUAAUAGAUUUCAAUAGUUCACCAUCGGUGCAUGAAGAUUGAAGGUAUAUCUGACAUAUGUGUGGAGAUUGGGCGUGAUUGCUGGCCGAAGUAGAGAAGAGAAGAGAAGAGGAGAAGCAAAUGUUUGGGUGUUGUUGAUAGCAGUGGUG
rnacentral:lncRNA from 1 species